UCCCUUCAUCAUUCAGUCUCACCUAUUCCAUCUUUUCUGUAUGUUCUGUCCCCCCUCUAUCAGAAAAAGCAAAGAAAAUUUCAAAACCUCACUCUCUUCUUUCUCUCUCUCCUGUGAACUCUCUCUUCCUCUGCAAAUCCAUGAGCGAGCUCCAAAGUUUGUAGAUCGAACAAACAAACUACAUCAUCAUGCUCAUCUCAGUCCCACGAUCACAACCAUGUCCUUGAAAUUUGGUGUGGACGAGUUUUGACUCACCAACUCGGAAGGUCGACUCGGCGAGUUCGACAUAUCGAUUUUCAAGCCAUGCAUGGCUUAGAAACUCGAGAAGAAGAAGAACUUGCCAUUUUUCACUCAAGAACCGUGGCCAUUUGGUCACUUUCAAACCAUUUUUCUAGUCAACCUCGACCAUAAAUGGACUUCUUCUAGGGGAAACUUAUUCCGAGGAUUUUCGAGGCCAAGCUAGGCUCGGGGGCUACGACUCAGCAA